AGCGAACGCUGGCGGCAGGCCUAACACAUGCAAGUCGAGCGCCCAGCAAUGGGAGCGGCAGACGGGUGAGUAACGCGUGGGGAUCUGCCCAAUGGUACGGAAUAACCCAGGGAAACUUGGAUUAAUACCGUAUACGCCCUACGGGGGAAAGAUUUAUCGGGGUAUGAUGAGCCCGCGUUGGAUUAGCUAGUUGGUGGGGUAAAGGCCUACCAAGGCGACGAUCCAUAGCUGGUCUGAGAGGAUGCUCAGCCACAUUGGGACUGAGACACGGCCCAAACUCCUACGGGAGGCAGCAGUGGGGAAUAUUGGACAAUGGGCGCAAGCCUGAUCCAGCCAUGCCGCGUGAGUGAUGAAGGUCUUAGGAUUGUAAAGCUCUUUCACCGGUGAAGAUAAUGACGGUAACCGGAGAAGAAGCCCCGGCUAACUUCGUGCCAGCAGCCGCCGUAAGAC
rnacentral:rRNA from 1 species